CGCAUGCGCAGGUUUGAAAACAAAAAUUCAAAAAUUUCCAAUCAUUUAUUAUUUUAGAUAAUUUACCGGGCAUCGAUGCUGAUUAAUUUAUAAUAAGAGCUAGAAGAUGGCGCUGCCUCACAUGCCAACAAGCUACACAACCAGGAAGAAUAUUUACGAGGCUGCGAUUGUACGUCGAAGAAAUCAUGAUAAUGAUUUUCAUGAAAAAUGGUCAAAACAUGCAAGUUACUUCAACCAGUCAAAUGUUGAGGCCACAAAACAGAAAGCAUGGCAAUCAAAUGAAUCUUUUCAUAACAGUAUGGACGCAUAUAGAGACCAACAUGACAGAGAAACUAAAGUGCUACUGUUAAAGAAAAGAAGACUUAAACUUGGGAAGUUGUUGAAGAAUGAAUCAAAUCAGUAUGAGGCUGAGUUGAAGGGUGUCUCCAGAGGGAACUUUGACCUCAUGGAAGAUAUGAAGGAAAGAACUGAUGAACUGAAAAGUGCCAGAGAAGAAAAAAGAAAAAAGAUUGCAGAAGAAAAACUUUAUGACCAUUUCAGAAAAAAUAAUCCAGAUCUUCGAGAGUUGGAGACUGAGCAACACAAGAGACAUGUCAUAGGAGCAUGGGGUGAACAGGCAUCAGAAAAACAACAGGAACUGGAAAAUGCACGAAGAGAGAAGGAGAGAUACGAGGAGGAGUUAGAGAGAAGGAGACUGGCUGCAAUAGAACACGAUAGAAGUCUAGAAGAGCAGAAAUAUAACAAAGAAAAAGAAAUCAAACAAGUCUUAAUGACACAAGUCCAGGAACUCAAAGCUAGAGAAAAAGAGGCUGAUAUUCUGAAGAGGGAGCAGGAUCUUCUCCUAAAAGAGCAGUGGGAGCUGGAACAACUAGAAGUUGAGAGAAGACAAAUGGAAGAUCAGAGGAGACAGAAAGAGUUUGGACGUAUACUGCUACGGCAACAUACAGCGGCUCUAAGGCGCAAGAGUAAGCAGAUACUGGAGGAGCUAGAGGCAGACAGGGUGUUCUUAGAGUCGAUGGUGGAGAAGGAGAGAGAAGACCAGACAGUUAAAACUGCAAGGAGAGAGAAAGCAAAGGCAGAUGCAGAAUGGAUGAAAAAGGUGAUAGAUGACCAGAUCAGAGUAGAGAAAGUAAGAGAGGCUGAACUAGACAUGUUAUACCAGGAUGAGGCUGCAAGGGUGUGGCAGAAGAGAGAAGCUGAAUGGGCCCAGGAGAGGAAUGCAAGGGAAAGACUUAUGAAAGAGAUUAUGGCUGGUAGACAAGAACAGAUCGCACAAAAAAUGGAGGAAGUGAAACAACAACAACAAGAAUCACUUGAGAGACGUGAACAACUUGUGCGUGACAUGGAGUUAGCGCAGCAGAUGACUCAUAGAGAGGCUCAGCAGACAGAGCGCGCUAAGUCUGAGCGUAAAACUGAGCUACAAUCACAGAUGCGUGCCAGACUCCAACAAGAGGAGGAAGAUAGAUGGCGCCAGUUGCAGGAACUUGAGCAAGACAAACAUGCGGAGGAUGAUUACGAGGAAAUGCUCAGACAGGAAGCUGGCAGGAUGAACCUACAUGGCUUUCAGCCUAAGAAACAUAAUAUAGGUGGCGGGUCCACCAGAAGGCAGGCAUGGAACUAGAGUAGACAACGUCACAUCACUAAGCAACCAUGACUUCUGGUCACUAUGGUAACUGAAUCCAUCCACAGCAACACAACAUACUCUGUAUAUCCAUCCAAAUACAACAGUGAGGCAUGAGCUGUGGGUCACAUCAUAUAGGACAUUGGAGUGACCAUGC
rnacentral:misc_RNA from 1 species